rnacentral:rRNA from 1 species
AUCAUUAAGCGGAGGAAAAGAAACUAACUAGGAUUCCCUCAGUACGGGCGACGGAAGCGGGAAAAGCCCACAUUGGUAAUCUCCGAGCUUGGGCUCGGCGAAUUGUAAUCUGAAGAUCGCUAGUCUAAUUGGAUCAGGCGUCAAAGUGCGCACGAGCGCGCCGCCAUAGAGGGUGAGAGCCCCGUACGACGCAGGAUCCUACCAAGGCUGGUGUUCGAAGAGUCGUGUACUUUGAUACUAGUGCACUAAGCGGGAGAUAAACUUCUUCUAAGGCUAAAUAUAAGUAGGAAACCGAUAGCGAACAAGUACUGUGAAGGAAAGAUGAAAAGCACUUUGGAAAGAAAGUUAAAAGACUUGAAAUCGUUGAGGCGGACCCGGUAGAAAUGUAUUCUAGCGAAGCGCUCUGGGAAGCCUCUACGGGGGCCACUUGAGCGCUAGCCGAGACAAGAUGGAGUCGCCUGAUGCCAGAGGCUGUGUGCGAGCGUGCUUGCAUGAGCGCAUGCUAGUCGGGUGUUAGGCGGCUUGAGGGGCCUUGAGCGAUCUUGUCAAAAUGGUUUUUACCGACUCGUCUUGAAACACGAACCAAGGAGUCUAAGACUAACGCGAGUAUGGUGGUGGAGAAACCAACAUGCGAAAUGAAAGUAAAUGAUGCCAAGCUCCCUGCAGCAUCGACCGACUUUUUUCUAUUGGAAGAGGUUUGAGUAAGAGCGUUAUUCUUAGGACCCGAAAGAUGGUGAACUAUGCCUGUGUAGGGUGAAGUCAGGGGAAACUCUGAUGGAAGCUCGUAGCGAUACUGACGUGCAAAUCGUUCGUCGAACAUGGGUAUAGGGGCGAAAGACUAAUCGAACCAUCUAGUAGCUGGUUCCCUCCGAAGUUUCCCUCAGGAUAGCUGGGACAAGUGCGCAGUUUUAUUAGGUAAAGCGAAUGAUUAGAGGCAUCGGGGUUAAAAUGACCUUGACCUAUUCUCAAACUUUAAAUUGGUAAGAACUCCCGUCUUUUCUUAAUUGAAGCAGGAGGUUCAAUGCGUGUCCUUAGUGGGCCAUUUUUGGUAAGCAGAACUGGCGAUGAGGGAUGCUCCUAACGUCGGGUUAAGGUGCCAAACUACACGCUCAUCAGAAACUACAAAGGGUGUUAGUUUAUGAAGACAGCAGGACGGUGGCCAUAGAAGUCGGAACCCGCUAAGGAGUGUGUUACAACUCACCUGCCGAAUGAACUAGUCCCGAAAAUGGAUGGCGCUAAAGCGUGUGACCGAUACCCGACCAUUGGUGCGAGAGUUAUGCAUCAAUGAGUAGGAGGGCGUGGGCGUCGUGGCGAAGCCUCUAGCGUGAGCUUGGGUUGAACGGCGUCUAGUGCAGAUCUUGGUGGUAGUAGCAAUUAUUCAAAUGAGAACUUUGAAGGCCGAAGUGGAGAAGGUUUCCGUGAGAACAGCAAUUGGUCACGGGUGACUCGAUCCUAAGACAUGGGGGAAAUCCUUGUUAAGUGCGCGCUUAGCGCGUAGUCGAAAGGGAAUGAGGUUAAUAUUCCUCAAGCUGGAUGUGGGCGUUAAGUGGCAACACAAACGAACUUAGAGCCGCCAGCGUGAGCCUCUGGAAGAGUUGUCUUUUCUUUUUAACAGAUUAGUGUCCCUGAAAUUGGUUUACCCAGAGAUAGGGAGACACAUCUGGAAGAGCACCCUGCGUUUCGGGGUGUCAGGUGCGCUCAUGAUGGUCCGUGAAAAUCUAAGUGAGAAGUAUCACACCAGGUCGUACCCACAACCGC